rnacentral:rRNA from 1 species
UACGAAGGGGGCUAGCGUUGUUCGGAAUUACUGGGCGUAAAGCGCACGUAGGCGGAUUGUUAAGUUAGGGGUGAAAUCCCAGGGCUCAACCCUGGAACUGCCUUUAAUACUGGCAAUCUCGAGUCCGAGAGAGGUGAGUGGAGUUCCGAGUGUAGAGGUGAAAUUCGUAGAUAUUCGGAGGAACACCAGUGGCGAAGGCGGCUCACUGGCUCGGUACUGACGCUGAGGUGCGAAAGCGUGGGGAGCAAACAGG